rnacentral:lncRNA from 1 species
UGAGGGUGAUCCGGUCGAUGUUCCAUCAGGGUCCUGAGGAACGAGCUGAUAAGUUCUCAGGAGCAAAGCAUCACUGACUUGCUGAAAGCUGUGAAAGACCAAAGCGACCAGCUGAACUCGCAGAGGAACCAGAUCAAGAUCCUAGAGAAGAAGCUGAAAGACCCCAGGCUCCAGGAGACCGCGGUCAAAAUCCACACGGAGACGGAUUCCCACAAUUCUACUGCCGUCUGAUGGCCACACCGGCAUCAGCUCGAUCUGGAAUGGUGAGCGGGGAGAACUACCCUUACCAGUCAAGGCAAGAUUUGGUCUACACCCAUGCUUCUUAGAACAUCUGUUAAGUGAUGUCUGCUCGAAGGUCACAUGUGGCAUGAAAUAAAACAUUCCGACAUUUGAAAUGGUCCA